UGACGGAAACCGUACUGUCGGUCAGGA
rnacentral:sRNA from 1 species